GCGCGGGUGAUGGAAUCGGUAGACAUGAGAGACUUAAAAUCUCUUGGCCGCAAGGCCGUGCGGGUUCAAGUCCCGCUCUGCGCACCA
rnacentral:tRNA from 1 species